rnacentral:rRNA from 1 species
UUCCGGUUGAUCCUGCCGGACCUGACUGCUAUCGGAUUGAUACUAAGCCAUGCGAGUCUUUGCAGUAAUGCAAGGCAUACGGCUCAGUAACACGUAGUCAACUUACCCUAUGGACGAGGAUAAUCUCGGGAAACUGAGCAUAAUACUCGAUAGAUCAUAAUGCCUGGAAUGGUUUAUGGUUAAAAUGAUUCGUCGCCAUAGGAUGGGACUGCGGCCUAUCAGCUUGUUGGUGAGGUAAUGGCCCACCAAGGCGAUUACAGGUACGGGCUCUGAGAGGAGAAGCCCGGAGAUGGGUACUGAGACAAGGACCCAGGCCCUAUGGGGCGCAGCAGGCGAGAAAACUUUGCAAUGUGCGAAAGCACGACAAGGUUAAUCCGAGUGAUUUCUGCUAAAGAAAUCUUUUGCAAGUCAUAAAACCACUAGUGAAUAAGGGGUGGGCAAGUUCUGGUGUCAGCCGCCGCGGUAAAACCAGCACCUCAAGUGGUCAGGAGGAUUAUUGGGCCUAAAGCAUCCGUAGCCGGCUCUGUAAGUUUUCGGUUAAAUCCAUGUGCUCAACGCAUGGGCUGCCGAAAAUACUGCAUAGCUAGGGAGUGGGAGAGGUAGACGGUACUCAGUA